CUGUCAGAAAAAAAGGUACUGUGGAGGUACAAUUUUGUUCCUAGGGGAACAAAAAAUAUAAUGGUACCUUUAAAGGUACACAGUAGGUCCUUAUGGGUACAAUUAUGGUCCCUAAAUGAGUUAUAAAGGUACAACUUUUGAGAUACAGAUGUGAAAGGUACAUUUUUGUACCUUGGAAUUACUUUAUUUUUAUUUAUAUAUUUAUUUUAAGUUUAGCCCCAAUUAGAGUAGGCCUAUGUGUUUUUCUUUUUUGUUUAUUACUUUAAUGUGCCUCAUCUCAUGAUAACAUCAAUACACUGUAUUACAUUUAUUUAAAUGUAAAAAAUACAUUUUCAAAUAGUGUACUUGUCCCCUACCUGUAAAAUGAGACAGAUAUAAUAAAUAAAACAUAAAGCUAAUGAAAUUAUUAAAUUAAAUCUUUUGAAUAACUGUUAAGGUUUUUUGUUGUUGUUGUUGUUGUAAUAUUAUAGUAGUCAGAAAAGCUUUUUUUAUUAAAUGUAUUUUUAUUAAUUUAAAACUUUUAAAUUUUGACCUUUGAAUUAUUAAAUUUUUAAGACUCUGAAUGACAUUUUGAAUAAGGACAAUGCGGAAUGGCAAGAUUUAAUUAUACUCAAGUAAAUUAUAUUCGAAACGUGCUCAUGCAGACGUUACCGUUGAUGUCGCUUUAAGAAAAUUUCCCUCGCUUGGCUUGAGUUGUUCAGUUUGCGAUUGCGAUUGAUGCGGGCGUGCUCUGACGGAACCUCGCACGGUUUUCAACGCGGAGUCUGUUUUGGAGUUAAUAUUUCUCAGGUAAAUGCAGAAUAAUGUUAUAUAAUCUUAUUUAUACACGUGGGACGCCAUGUUCGGUUAAUUUUGUUGAACUUGAUGUUCCCCUGCUCUAGCCCGCUAAAAAUGCUUGCGUCAGACUGGCUGGUUUAAGUUAACGUUCGUUGGCCUGCAGGAUGGAGCUGACUAGAAUGUCUACAGCUAACUUAAUAAAGGAGUUAAUACAAUUUGGUAUCGAAGUCACUGAAGAGGAGAGGAAAAAGUUUGAAGGUGAGUAGCGUUAUGCUGUUACAUUUUUUAAAAGUUUGAAGUGUUUAAGUUAACGUUACUUGAGGAUUUUCCUGGUGAUAUCCGUAAUCUUUUUUUUUUAUCCGCCUCUCAUACCUUGUUGCUUAAAUAAUAAUAACUAUGGCCACUACUGAAUAUAUUUGCAAUAUUACCAUUUGUACGGUAAUGUUAGCUACUUAGUGAUUGACGUUUUACAUUUUGAGGCAAAUUUUACCGCCUUUGCGAGUAUGACGACAUUUUGUAAUGGGCAGCAGGAGAGUUGCCCAACGCACUCCUUAUCACACAGACAUUUUGUGUAACGUUAGAUACUGCAAAGCAAGUGAUUAAUUAAGUAAAAGGACAGCAUUCGAGCGAAUAUUUAUUCGUUACAAACAUGAGAGUAACGUUAAUUUCAGAUGUUUGUAAGCGGGGGAGGUGUCUCUCUCACUUUUAAAAUGUAAAUUCGUCUCCUGUAGUUUUUUUUUUCGGUAACGUGUGUUCACGGAGAGAUUUUAUUUUUCUGCAGUCUUUUUAUUCAUAUCCCAAAUGAGGGAACGUGAACAUCAUGGAUUAAGCGCUGAACACUCUAAUGCAGGGAUCUCCAACCCUGCUCCUGAAGAGCUACCGUCCUGCAGACUUCAGUUCCAGCCCUGCUCCAACUCACCUGUCUGUAAUUAUCAAGUAGCCCUGAACACCUUGAUUAGCUGCUUCAGGUGUGUUUGAUUGGGGUUGGAGCUGAAAUCUGCAGGACAGUAGCUCUCCAGGAGCAGGGUUGGAGACUAAUGCAUUGUGUUUUUACUCAUACUUAAUAUAAAGAAUAUACAUUUUUUUUUUUAUCCAGCAGUGUAUUUGAUUUCUUGUCCAAUUAACAUUAAUAGGAAAAGCUUCAAAAACACUGGUUUAGUACAUGCUUCAGUUUGAUGGGUAAUUAAAUGAUACUUUUCUUCUUUUUUAUGUUAUAGACAAUGAUGUGGAUAGAGAGACUGUUGACAUCGGACUGACUGAGUCAAUGAUUUCAUUCCUCUUUGAGGGAUCAUUUAAAAAACAAGCAAAAUUUCAUCGAUUUGUUCAGCAGAUGAAGGAGACAGUGACAUUAACUCUUGAACCUGUGCCUGUAGAAAGCCAGUCAAGAGCUGGAGCAAGUAAUAUCAGCCCAUCAACAGCUUUCCCUGCAUUUUUUGAAGUUCCGAAGUUUCCAUUUGAUGUUCAGGCCAAAUUGGACCGAAAAGAAUGCAGACUAACGUCAUCAGACCGAAACAAAAUUAUUAGAACGUUGUAUGAAAGCAUGGCUCAGUACAAAAUGUAUCCAACUACAGAAGAGUAUGUUCAAGUGGCUAAGGCCCUGACUCUGAGGUAUCCCUUUUUAAAAGACAAAGAGGGCAAUGGAUAU